rnacentral:lncRNA from 1 species
CUGGAUUCCCUACUCAGCUCUGUGCAGAACUGGCAGCAUGACCUGGGGUGAAUGACUGCAAGGGAUUUCCCAGUCGAAAAGGAUCCGGGGAACAAAGUUGAAAUGCAACUGUUUCCAGGGUGAAACACUACUAUUUAACUCCGCUACCAAAGCAAAUCAGCUCUGUGCUUUCAACAAAGAAGCAAAAUAAGGAAAGAAGAAUCGGUUACAAAGGUAGAAUUUAUC